UGAGAGCUGCGAGAGGAGGGAGGUCCCGGUCCAGGGCUUCCUCGAGGAACUGGCUUGGUUCCAGGAGCAGCUGGAUGCCCACGGGCGCCCUGUGGGGUGUGCCUUAGUGGCCUUGAUGCCCCCAGAGGGCAGCUGAGGCAGCCACAGCAGCUGGUCCGGGAGCUGAGCGGCUGCCGGGCCCUGCGGGGCUGCCCCAAAGUCUUCCUGCUGCUCUCAAGUGGUCCUGGGUCCUCCCUGGAGCCCGGAGCCUUCCUUGCUGGCCUGAGAGAGCUGUGUGGCCGCUCUCCUCACUGGUCCCUGGUGCAGCUGCUGACGAAGCUCUUCCGCAGGGUGGCUGAAGAGUCCGCAGGGGGCACCUGCUGCCCCGUCCUUCGGAGCUCCUUGAGGGGGGCACUGUGCCUGGGAGGCGUGGAGCCCUGGAGGCCUGAGCCGGCCCCCGGUCCCAGCACACAGUAUGACCUGUCCAAGGCCAGGGCUGCCCUCCUCCUGGCUGUGAUCCAAGGCCGGCCUGGGGCCCAGCAUGACGUGGAGGCGCUGGGGGGCCUGUGCUGGGCCCUGGGCUUUGAGACCACCGUGAGAACGGACCCUACAGCCCAGGCUUUCCAGGAGGAGCUGGCCCAGUUCCGGGAGCAACUGGACACCUGCAGGGGCCCUGUGAGCUGUGCCCUUGUGGCCCUGAUGGCCCAUGGGGGACCACGGGGUCAGCUGCUGGGGGCUGACGGGCAAGAGGUGCAGCCCGAGGCACUCAUGCAGGAGCUGAGCCGCUGCCAGGUGCUGCAGGGCCGCCCCAAGAUCUUCCUGUUGCAGGCCUGCCGUGGGGGAAACAGGGAUGCUGGUGUGGGGCCCACAGCUCUCCCCUGGUACUGGAGCUGGCUGCGGGCACCUCCAUCUGUCCCCUCCCAUGCAGAUGUCCUGCAGAUCUACGCUGAGGCCCAAGGCAGCUCCUGCAGGGGCACCCCUCCAGGGAGCUCUGACCAAGCAGACAUCCUGACGGUCUACUCAGCCGCAGAGGGCUAUGUGGCCUAUCGCGAUGACAAGGGCUCAGACUUUAUCCAGACACUGGUGGAGGUCCUCAGAGCCAACCCCGGGAGAGACCUUCUGGAGCUGCUGACUGAGGUCAACAGGCGGGUGUGCGAGCAGGAGGUGCUGGGCCCCGACUGCGAUGAACUCCGCAAGGCCUGCCUGGAGAUCCGCAGCUCGCUCCGGCGCCGGCUCUGCCUCCAGGCCUGAGGGUGCGGCGGCCACGGGGGCGCUGCUGAGACGGUGGCCAGAUCCCAGCGCCAUUCUUGCCUCCAUCCACCCCCCAUCCCCCCGGUUUCCUCAUCUGAGAGCGAGGCGUGGCAGCGUGGGGGUGGCCGUGCAAUAAAU